UACGGAGGGAGCUAGCGUUGUUCGGAAUUACUGGGCGUAAAGCGCACGUAGGCGGCUUUGUAAGUUAGAGGUGAAAGCCCGGAGCUCAACUCCGGAAUUGCCUUUAAGACUGCAUCGCUUGAAUCCAGGAGAGGUGAGUGGAAUUCCGAGUGUAGAGGUGAAAUUCGUAGAUAUUCGGAAGAACACCAGUGGCGAAGGCGGCUCACUAGACUGGUAUUGACGCUGAGGUGCGAAAGCGUGGGGAGCAAACAGG
rnacentral:rRNA from 1 species